rnacentral:rRNA from 1 species
ACGAAAGGUGCGAGCGUUAAUCGGAAUUACUGGGCGUAAAGCGCGCGUAGGCGGUUUGCUAAGUCAGAUGUGAAAGCCCCGGGCUCAACCUGGGAACUGCAUUUGAAACUGGCAGGCUGGAAUGCAGUAGAGGGAGGUGGAAUUUCCGGUGUAGCGGUGAAAUGCGUAGAGAUCGGAAGGAACGCCAGUGGCGAAAGCG